CAGCAGCCGCGGUAAUACGAAGGGUGCAAGCGUUAAUCGGAAUUACUGGGCGUAAAGCGUGCGUAGGCGGUUUGUUAAGUCUGUUGUGAAAUCCCCGGGCUCAACCUGGGAAUGGCAAUGGAUACUGGCAAGCUAGAGUGUGUCAGAGGAUGGUGGAAUUCCCGGUGUAGCGGUGAAAUGCGUAGAGAUCGGGAGGAACAUCAGUGGCGAAGGCGGCAAUCUGGGCCAACACUGACACUGAGGCACGAAAGCGUGGGGAGCAAACAGGAUUAGAUACCCCCGUAGUCCCUGUCUCUUAUAU
rnacentral:rRNA from 1 species